rnacentral:rRNA from 1 species
UGGUUCUCCCCGAAAGCUAUUUAGGUAGCGCCUCGUGAAUUCAUCUCCGGGGGUAGAGCACUGUUUCGGCUAGGGGGCCAUCCCGGCUUACCAACCCGAUGCAAACUGCGAAUACCGGAGAAUGUUAUCACGGGAGACACACGGCGGGUGCUAACGUCCGUCGUGAAGAGGGAAACAACCCAGACCGCCAGCUAAGGUCCCAAAGUCAUGGUUAAGUGGGAAACGAUGUGGGAAGGCCCAGACAGCCAGGAUGUUGGCUUAGAAGCAGCCAUCAUUUAAAGAAAGCGUAAUAGCUCACUGGUCGAGUCGGCCUGCGCGGAAGAUGUAACGGGGCUAAACCAUGCACCGAAGCUGCGGCAGCGAACGUAUCACCCAAGACAACUUUACGGAGUUGACGAUUGACGGAGCGAAGCGACGUCAAAGCGUUCAUUAAAGUCGAGUUGGCUUAGGGAUACGUUCGUUGGGUAGGGGAGCGUUCUGUAAGCCUGUGAAGGUGUGUCGUGAGGCAUGCUGGAGGUAUCAGAAGUGCGAAUGCUGACAUAAGUAACGAUAAAGCGGGUGAAAAGCCCGCUCGCCGGAAGACCAAGGGUUCCUGUCCAACGUUAAUCGGGGCAGGGUGAGUCGACCCCUAAGGCGAGGCCGAAAGGCGUAGUCGAUGGGAAACGGGUUAAUAUUCCCGUACUUGGUGUUACUGCGAAGGGGGGACGGAGAAGGCUAUGUUGGCCGGGCGACGGUUGUCCCGGUUUAAGCGUGUAGGUGUGUGUUCCAGGUAAAUCCGGUUCACUUUAACACUGAGGCGUGACG